GUUGAUGUUGGACGUUUCGUGGAACCCAG
rnacentral:piRNA from 1 species